GUGCAACUUGUUGAUUCCAUGACGCUCUAGACUAAGAGAUGGCUUCAGAUCUGAAAGAAUUGUCUUUUUACACUUACCAUGCUCCUCCUUGCACUCCUUAAUGGCAUCGAGACUUGUGCUGCCAACUGCUCCUGUUCCAGUUCCCGCGCCAACUGCCACUCCCACUCCUGUGCCACUGCCCGUUUUUUUGGGUUUCCGUUUUCGUGUCUGAAUUCCAUCCUUCCGCAUGGCCAAUGGCCUAUUGACGCCAUGGAGUUUGUAGUACAGUCCACAGGCGUUGCAUACUGGUUCACCAUCGUUAUUCCGCCGCCAGAGAGUGGUGGUGCGAGUGCCACAAUUAGUGCAGCAAAGUCCGAGUCGCCGUGUAGCGGUCUGUGUGGGAGACAUAUGUAUUGGUUAGCAUUAUAAUGCUCACUACAAAUAUUUGAUUUUGGAUUACUCACUGCACUCACCAGGCGCUUGCUGGGCUUAAUCAACGGCCUGUUCAUGCCAUUCAUUUUGUGAUAUAACCCGCAAGCAUUACAUAGAUAGUGGCCAGUUCCAUCUCGCCGCCAGAGUGGGGUCGAAAUGGCCCCACAGUUGACACAUUCGCGUCCUUCUCCAAACUGAAAGUCCAUGGCACUCUCAUACGGUGAUGAUCGUUGGAAACCAGUUGGAUCGUAAGCGCUGCGCCAGGAUCCCAUCAUAACGGCUGCAUUCUGUGUAUAAAACUGCGCCGGCAACUGGGCAUGGGCCGAGCCAAAGCUGUCCGUGGUCCAAGCGUUCUGUGCAGCGGCGCUACCAAAAUGAGCUGCCACAUGGUUGUACUGGCGGUUUGAAGGCACGUAGACCGGUGCAUUGACCGCCUGCUGAUGAUGGUAUCCCGAGGCGCCAAUGCCAACACCCACUCCUGCACCGGCUGCUGCUGCUGCACUACCCGCUGCUGCAAGAUCUGUGUAGGCGGCUGCUGCCACAGCACUCGAAUGAUACAUCUUGGAGCUGGCAGCGGCCGCAAUGGGGGCCACUUGCCUGUUCUGAUAAUUAUCGACGCUGGACUGCUGAUCCGAGAUUUGGUCUCAUUGGGCGACUCAUCGUUGAUUGGCUGGCAGCCAUUUUGAUUUCGAAAUCUUGCAACCAUGUACAAGAAAAAGGGAGAGAGUGCACCAAGAUGACGAGAGCGAAAGAGAGUGGAACUCGUUUUCUGCCCUUUAGCAGUUCCAUCUCUUACACGUAAUGGCGCUCUGAAUGAGUAUGUGUCUAUAUCUGAAUCGGUUUCUGUAUAUUGGGGCAUCGGCAAGCAUUUAUCUCGUGGCUCACUGCUAUUGUUUGCCUAAGGAUCAAGAUAAUCUGGGCCGAAUCGAAGAUUAAAUACUCUUGCAAUAUUAUCUUUAAGAUAGUUAGAUGACUCUUUUUAAUAACUUUUAUUUUCUAAUACCUACAAAUUUGUGUACGAAAGAAAAUUUGAUUUU